rnacentral:rRNA from 1 species
UGGGGAAUAUUGGACAAUGGGGGCAACCCUGAUCCAGCGAUGCCGCGUGUGUGAAGAAGGCCUGAGGGUUGUAAAGCACUUUUGUUGGGGAGGAGAGUAGAUAGGUUAAGAGCCAAUCUAUGAGACGUUACCCAAAGAAAAAGCACCGGCAAACUCCGUGCCAGCAGCCGCGGUAAUACGGGGGGUGCAAGCGUUAAUCGGAAUUACUGGGCGUAAAGGGUGCGUAGGUGGAAAAUUAAGUUAGCUGUGAAAGUCCUGGGCUCAACCUAGGGAGGUCAGCUAAUACUGGUUAUCUUGAGUAUAGGAGAGGGUAGUGGAAUUUCCGGUGUAGCGGUGAAAUGCGUAGAGAUCGGAAGGAACACCAGUGGCGAAGGCGGCUACCUGGCCUGAUACUGACACUGAGGCACGAAAGCGUGGGGAGCAAACAG